rnacentral:rRNA from 1 species
UGAGGAAUAUUGCGCAAUGGGGGAAACCCUGACGCAGCGAUGCCGCGUGGGUGAAGAAGGCUUUCGGGUCGUAAAGCCCUGUCAGGUGGGAAGAAUAGUCUCUUGGUGAAUAGCCAGGAGGCAUGACGGUACCACCGAAGGAAGCACCGGCUAACUCCGUGCCAGCAGCCGCGGUAAGACGGAGGGUGCAAGCGUUAUUCGGAAUCAUUGGGCGUAAAGAGUGUGUAGGCGGCCGGUUAAGUCAGGUGUGAAAGCCCAGGGCUCAACCCUGGAAGUGCACUUGAAACUGGUCGGCUUGAGUUCGGGAGAGGGAAGCGGAAUUCCGGGUGUAGAGGUGAAAUUCGUAGAUAUCCGGAGGAACAUCGGUGGCGAAGGCGGCUUCCUGGACCGAAACUGACGCUGAGACACGAAAGCGUGGGGAGCAAACAGG